UUAGGACAAAUGUUUUAGAGUCAUUACAACUGAAGCCUGUAGGGAUCUGAAAACACGGGACCACCUGCCACUGCCAAGGAACCAGGCUGGGUGGCAGGCUUUGCAGCCUGGUGUGUGCCGACGGCUGUCACAACCAGUAUAAAACCUAAAAUAGAUGCUAGCCACGAUCCCGUAUCUGCUCCCUUCUUCUCUACCUGCCUUUGUAACUCUUGGGGAAAAUGUAUGUCAAGUCCUUUGAUGCCUUGCUCUUUUAAAUUCCUGUUCGUGCUGGCAUGUG
rnacentral:lncRNA from 1 species